rnacentral:rRNA from 1 species
AAAACAUGUCUGUAUGGUUGUUAUAUAGAGUCUAGCCUGCCCACUGACGAAAGUUAAAGGGCCGCGGUAUUUUGACCGUGCGAAGGUAGCAUAAUCAUUAGUCUUUUAAUUGGAGGCUUGUAUGAAUGGUUGGACAAAAAAUAAGCUGUCUCUAUUUUAUUUCUUGAAUUUAACUUUUAAGUGAAAAGGCUUAAAUGUUCUAGGGGGACGAUAAGACCCUAUAAAGCUUUACAGUGUAUUGAUUAAAUUUUAAAUUAUUAGUAUUAACUUAAUUUAUUUAAUAACUGUUUCGUUGGGGCGACGAAAAUAUAAUAAAUAGUAACUGUUUUUCUUUUAGAAUAACAAUAAAUUUUUGGAAGUAAUUGAUCCUUUCUUAAAGAUUAAAAGAUUAAGUUACUUUAGGGAUAACAGCGUAAUCUUCUUUGAGAGUUCAUAUCGACAAGAAGGGUUGCGACCUCGAUGUUGAAUUAAGGUUUCCUUGAGGUGUAGCAGUUUCAUAGGAGGGUCUGUUCGACCUUUAAAUCCUUACAUGAUCUGAUCU